rfam:Lupinus angustifolius cultivar Tanjil contig_9748, whole genome shotgun sequence.
GGGAAAUGAUGAGUGGGUUAAUCUCGCUAUUUUAAUGCGAGUUGGGUGUCCACCCAAGCCUGGUUACGACAAUUGGGCAUUCUCCUAUUUUCCAAUCUGAUCCC